AGCGAACGCUGGCGGCAUGCCUAACACAUGCAAGUCGCACGGGGGGGCUUCGGCCUCCCAGUGGCGGACGGGUGAGGAACGCGUAGGGACCUGUCGAGGGGUGGGGGAUAACCGCGGGAAACUGCGGCUAAUACCGCAUGACGCCGCGGCGUGACAGCCGGGGCCAAAGGCGAAAGCCGCCCGCCGAGGGGCCUGCGUCCGAUUAGCUGGUUGGCGGGGUAGCGGCCCACCAAGGCGUCGAUCGGUAGCUGGUCUGAGAGGGUGAUCAGCCACACCGGGACUGAGACACGGCCCGGACUCCUACGGGAGGCAGCAGUGGGGAAUAUUGGACAAUGGGCGCAAGCCUGAUCCAGCAAUGCCGCGUGGGUGAAGAAGGUCUACGGAUUGUAAAGCCCUUUCGGCGGGGACGAUGGUGACGGUACCCGCAGAAGAAGCCCCGGCUAACUUCGUG
rnacentral:rRNA from 1 species